ACGCCAUGGAAAUUGGUUCCAUUUGAAAAUAUUUAAAAAACAAUAUUAUUUUUUUUUUAAGUAAAAAUAACCUUUUUUUUAUUAUUCUUUUUCUAAAAUUAACGUUGUUUUUUAACUUAUUUAUUAUGAAGUUAAGGACUGGGGUGAAGUCGUAACAAGGUAGCCGUAGGUGAACCUGCAGAAGGAUCAAGGGCGGAAGCGGGAU
rnacentral:misc_RNA from 1 species